GACGAACGCUGGCGGCGUGCUUAACACAUGCAGGUCGAACGGAAAGGCCCUGCUUUUGUGGGGUGCUCGAGUGGCGAACGGGUGAGUAACACGUGAGUAACCUGCCCUUGACUUUGGGAUAACUUCAGGAAACUGGGGCUAAUACCGGAUAGGAGCUCCUGCUGCAUGGUGGGGGUUGGAAAGUUUCGGCGGUUGGGGAUGGACUCGCGGCUUAUCAGCUUGUUGGUGGGGUAGUGGCUUACCAAGGCUUUGACGGGUAGCCGGCCUGAGAGGGUGACCGGCCACAUUGGGACUGAGAUACGGCCCAGACUCCUACGGGAGGCAGCAGUGGGGAAUAUUGCACAAUGAGCGGAAGCCUGAUGCAGCAACGCCGCGUGCGGGAUGACGGCCUUCGGGUUGUAAACCGCUUUCGCCUGUGACGAAGCGUGAGUGACGGUAAUGGGUAAAGAAGCACCGGCUAACUACGUG
rnacentral:rRNA from 1 species